rnacentral:tRNA from 1 species
GGCCGGGUAGCUCAGUCGGUAGAGCGUUGGGCUUUUGACCUAACGGUCCAGGGUUCGAGCGCCUGCUUGGGCG